GUCGACUUGGAGGUUGUGCCCUUGAGGCGUGGCUUCCGGAGCUAACGCGUUAAGUCGACCGCCUGGGGAGUACGGCCGCAAGGUUAAAACUCAAAUGAAUUGACGGGGGCCCGCACAAGCGGUGGAGCAUGUGGUUUAAUUCGAUGCAACGCGAAGAACCUUACCUGGUCUUGACAUCCACGGAAGUUUUCAGAGAUGAGAAUGUGCCUUCGGGAACCGUGAGACAGGUGCUGCAUGGCUGUCGUCAGCUCGUGUUGUGAAAUGUUGGGUUAAGUCCCGCAACGAGCGCAACCCUUAUCCUUUGUUGCCAGCGGUCCGGCCGGGAACUCAAAGGAGACUGCCAGUGAUAAACUGGAGGAAGGUGGGGAUGACGUCAAGUCAUCAUGGCCCUUACGACCAGGGCUACACACGUGCUACAAUGGCGCAUACAAAGAGAA
rnacentral:rRNA from 1 species